rnacentral:tRNA from 1 species
GGGGGGUUGGUGCAAUGGGAGCACAGCGCCUUUGCAAGGCGCAGACAUGGGUUCGAAUCCCAUACUCUCCA